GAUGAACGCUGGCGGCGUGCCUAAUACAUGCAAGUCGAGCGAACAGACGAGGAGCUUGCUCCUCUGACGUUAGCGGCGGACGGGUGAGUAACACGUGGAUAACCUACCUAUAAGACUGGGAUAACUUCGGGAAACCGGAGCUAAUACCGGAUAAUAUAUUGAACCGCAUGGUUCAAUAGUGAAAGACGGCUUUGCUGUCACUUAUAGAUGGAUCCGCGCCGCAUUAGCUAGUUGGUAAGGUAACGGCUUACCAAGGCAACGAUGCGUAGCCGACCUAAGAGGGUGAUCGGCCACACUGGAACUGAGACACGGUCCAGACUCCUACGGGAGGCAGCAGUAGGGAAUCUUCCGCAAUGGGCGAAAGCCUGACGGAGCAACGCCGCGUGAGUGAUGAAGGUCUUCGGAUCGUAAAACUCUGUUAUUAGGGAAGAACAAAUGUGUAAGUAACUAUGCACGUCUUGACGGUACCUAAUCAGAAAGCCACGGCUAACUACGUG
rnacentral:rRNA from 1 species